GCUCCCGUAGCUCAGAUGGAUAGAGCGACCGCCUCCUAAGCGGUAGGUCGUUGGUUCGAGUCCAAUCGGGAGCA
rnacentral:tRNA from 2 species